rnacentral:rRNA from 1 species
GACGAACCGUGCGAACGUUGUUCGGAAUCACUGGGCUUAAAGGGCGCGUAGGCGGGUCAGCAAGUCCGGGGUGAAAUCUUUCGGCUUAACCGGAAAAGGGCCUUGGAGACUGCUGGUCUUGAGGGAGGUAGGGGCAUGUGGAACUUCCGGUGGAGCGGUGAAAUGCGUUGAUAUCGGAAGGAACGCCGGUGGCGAAAGCGACGUGCUGGCCCUCUUCUGACGCUGAGGCGCGAAAGCUAGGGGAGCAAACAGG